rnacentral:rRNA from 1 species
AGACCCUGUUGAGCUUGACUCUAGUCCGACUUUGUGAAAUGACUUGAGAGGUGUAGAAUAAGUGGGAGCCGUUUUCGGCGCAAGUGAAAUACCACUACUUUUAACGUUAUUUUACUUAUUCCGUGGGGCGGAGACGGGGCAUUGCCCCUGUUUUUGGCCUUAAGGCACGCAUCGGCGGGUCGAUCCGGGCGGAAGACAUUGUCAGGUGGGGAGUUUGGCUGGGGCGGCACAUCUGUAAAACCAUAACGCAGGUGUCCCAAGGGGGACUCAUGGAGAACAGAAAUCUCCAGUAGAACAAAAGGGUAAAAGUCCCCUUGAUUUUGAUUUUCAGUGUGAAUACAAACCAUGAAAGUGUGGCCUAUCGAUCCUUUAGACCCCUCGAGAUUUGAGGCUAGAGGUGUCAGAAAAGUUACCACAGGGAUAA